UACAGAGGGUGCGAGCGUUGUCCGGAAUCACUGGGCGUAAAGGGCGCGUAGGUGGUGACCUAAGCGUGCGGUGAAAGCCCGAGGCUCAACCUCGGGUCGGCCGUGCGAACUGGGUCACUGGAGCAGAAUAGAGGCAGGUGGAAUUCCGGGUGUAGCGGUGGAAUGCGUAGAGAUCCGGAAGAACACCGGUGGCGAAGGCGGCCUGCUGGGUUGUGGCUGACACUGAGGCGCGACAGCGUGGGGAGCAAACAGG
rnacentral:rRNA from 1 species